GCGGGUGUAGUUAAAUGGUAUAACCUCAGCCUUCCAAGCUGAUGUUGCCAGUUC
rnacentral:tRNA from 1 species